rnacentral:rRNA from 1 species
GAAAGAUAACUUCUGCGAAAGCAUCUGCCAAGGAUGUUUUCAUUAAUCAAGAACGAAAGUUAGGGGAUCGAAGACGAUCAGAUACCGUCGUAGUCUUAACCAUAAACGAUGCCGACCAGCGAUUAGGAGACGUUGAAUACAAAACACCACCAUCGGCGCGGUCGUCCUUGGCGUCUGGCCCUUUGGGCCGGCCCGAGGGCGGGUUAGCCUGAUGCCGCCGGCGACGGAGUCUGACUCCCUUUGAGCUAGUGAGAA